AGGGAGACUGUCUCUGCAGGAGCUCAGGAAGAAUUUUCCAAAGGAAAUGCUCCAGGGUGAGAUGGAAUGUCUACCCAGACUGGUAACCAGUCACUACCAUCCCUGGGCAGAGCCUGGGCAGCCGUCUUUGUUGCAGGUCCUAACCUCAGGACAUCUUUGGAGAUGGGGUCUGUCUUUAAGGCAGUAAUUAAAUUAAGCUGGAUCAUUAGAAUGGGUCCUUACUCAAUAUGACUGAUGUCCUGCUAAG
rnacentral:lncRNA from 1 species